GGAAGUGCCUGACUAGCUGGUGCGGUCCCCGGUCUUCAAAACCGGUGUGGGGGGCGAAGAGCUUCCUGGGCAGGUUCGAUUCCUGUGCACUUCCGCUA
rnacentral:tRNA from 1 species